GUCUCUGGAAGGCUGAGCCAAGAUGUCGGAAUAAGGAAGGAACUUACUGAGUUCUCCCAAAUUAAUCUCCAAACAACUAUUUUUAAAAUGCCUCUAAACAAAUUCUGCAGACAAACAAAAUCAGCAGAACAACAAAAAGAUGAGGCAAAACAAUUUCUUGUCACAAGACUAUAGAAGGUUGGCAAGAAAAGAUCCAUUUCACUGAGGAAGAAGAGUGCUCCAUCCAGCAAACAUCUUUUCUCUCUCCAUCCUUUGGAUAGCAAACACAUCAACAUUAUAAUUUAUUGACUCCUGCUUCCCUAGCCCUUGAUCUGCUGCAACCUGGCUCUGACAUCAUUUCUACUGAAUGGAUCUUUAAAAGUUACCAACCCAGCUAACCUUGCAAUAUCCAACAAUAUCUUGGAGAACAUCAUGGUGAAAGGCACGAGAACAAGCAAGCACACAGUCCUGCUUUAUUUGUCAGUUAUGAAGACUUUUAGAAGAUUACAGUGAAAUAUGCUUGCCCAGAGAUAUUCAUCAGUAUUGUAUACCAGUUCAGUGAUGGCAUGCAGCCUACAGGCUCCUGAAAUGGUUAUGGAGAAAUCUAAUGACAGAGCUUGAUUGAAAAUACACUGGUAUUCAUGCAUUCACGUGACAAUUUUGGCUAACAUGAUGACUACAUAAAAGGAUAAAAACACAAGUUCUUUCCUCGGGAAUGAAAAGAUUGAAUUUGUUACUUAGUCUGGAUAAUUGGAUUUUAUUUCUGUGAAAAUAAUUCAAAGGAAGAUUUCAAGAUAAACCCAAGUGAUUCCCACCCCUCUUCUCCAAACUACUGCAACCACCUCCUCAAAACAGUUGUUAGUCAAUAUACUGAGUCAAGGAUGCUAAAACCAGAGUGAAGACAAUAUAUCUUACCUUUGUGUAUGCUAAUGAUGUUCAGCUUCAUUGGCCAUCAUGGAAGUUUCCAACUCCAGUCCUCUAAAUCCUACAUCCAAAAAGUGCAAGGUGUCUCAAUAAGUGAUCUAAGUUUUGAUAGCAUCAUCAACUAGCAGCACCUAUAUAAAGUGUAAAGCCCUUUUUAAAAGUUUUAAAGGUCUUAUGGACGCUUUGGGGCUACUAAAUACUAUGCAAAUUUUGCUUUAUCUACACAAACUGCUUCAGACAAAUGUAGAAGCCACUCUUUAUCUUCGGAAUGAAGUCCAAGGGGAGUCUCAACCUUUAUCUUUGUACUGAGUGGGUUGGGUAAUGCAAAUGUAUAUGGUCUGUCCUUGGCAAAGAAAAAGUGCAACAAGUUGUACAUGAAUUAAGUCUUUAUAAAAGUACUAGAGAACAAAAUUUUUUUUUUGCAAUGCAACAAUCAUUGUAUUAGACCGAUUCUUGAGGUUGGGGAUCAUAGUAUGGGGGGGGGGGGGAGUCAAACAAAGAAAUUGGCCUUAUCUUGAAGAUUUUGAUUAUGUGAUUACUACUGCUGUGCUGAGGUAACCUUGAUGUAUCCUGACAGUUCAUAUGAAUAGUCCUCUAAUGGACUACACUUUUGUAUUCAUCAAGGAAGAUCUGGUGAAGCAAUGCAGUACCUCUGGAAACAGUGGAGGUUGAUAGCCCUUUUUCACCAUUAAAGGUCAUGGAAACAUUUCUUCACAGGAGAGCCAGGAUGAUUGGUUACAUCAAAUUAAAAAGAGUUUGUACAAACAAAACUAAUGCAUCCAAAAUUAGAAGGGAAGCAACAAAUUGGGAAACAAUCUUCAUUACAAGAACCUCUGACAAAGGUCUAAUUACUCAAAUUUAUAAAGAGCUAAACCAAUUGUACAAAAAAUCAAGCCAUUCUCCAAUUGAUAAAUGGGCAAGGGAAAUGGAUAGGCAGCUUUCAGAUGAAGAAAUCAAAACUAAGUACAUGGAAAAGGGUUCUAAAUCUCUUAUAAUCAGAGAAAUGCAAAUCAAAACAACUCUGAGGUAUCACCUCACACCUAGCAGAUUGGCUAACAUGACAGCAAAGGAAAAUAAUGCUGGAUGGGGAUGUGGUAAAGUAGGGAAAUUAAUGCAUUGCUGGUGGAGUUGUGAAUUGAUCCAACCAUUCUGGAGGGCAAUAUGGAACUAUGCCCAAAGGGUGCUAAAAGACUGUCUGCCCUGUGAUCCAGCAAUAGCACUGCUGGGUUUGUACCCCCAGAGAGAUAAGGAAAAAGACAUGUACAAAAAUAUUCAUAGCUGCACUCUGUGGUGGCAAAAAAUUGGAAAACUAGGGGAUGCCCAUCAAUUGGGGAAUGGCUGAACAAAUUGUGGUAUAUGUUGGUGAUGGAAUACUAUUGUGCUCAAAGGAAUAAUAAAGUGGAGGAAUUCCAUGGAGACUGGAACAACCUCCAGGAAUUGAUGCAGAGGGAAAGGAGCAGAACCAGGAAAACAUUGUACACAGAGACUGAUACACUGUGGUUCAAUCGAAUGUAAUGGACUUCUCCAUUAGUGACAAUGCAAUGACCCUGAACUUGGAGGGAUCUAUGAGAAAGAACAUUAACCACAUUCAGAGGAAACACUGUGGGAGUAAAAACAUCAAAGAACAACAACUGCUUGAAUACAUGGGUCGAAGGGAUAUGGUUGGGGAUGUAGACUCUAAAUGAACAUCCUAGUGCAAACAAUAACAUGGAAAUAGGUUCUAAUCAAGGACAAGUAAUACCCAAUAAAAUUGUGUGUUGGCUGUGGGCAGGGUGGGUGGAGGGGAGGGAGGGAAAUAAAGUGAGUAUU